UACAGAGGUCCCAAGCGUUGUUCGGAUUCACUGGGCGUAAAGGGUGCGUAGGUGGUCGGGUAAGUCUGAUGUGAAAUCUCCGGGCCUAACCCGGAAACUGCAUCGGAUACCAUUCGGCUGGAGGGUUGGAGGGGGGACUGGAAUACUUGGUGUAGCAGUGAAAUGCGUAGAUAUCAAGUGGAACACCAGUGGCGAAGGCAGCUCUCUGGGACGGUACUGACACUGAGACGCGAAAGCGUGGGGAGCGAACAGG
rnacentral:rRNA from 1 species